GUCGCUGCAAAUUCAGCGACCGGGUUUGACGGCCCGACGAAUCCAAGGCGCACAAGCGCCCCCAUAACGAUUGCAGGCGCUUUUUUU
rnacentral:sRNA from 1 species